rnacentral:lncRNA from 1 species
GAAAACUGUCUGACAGACAUGAGGACCUUGCAAGGUACGCACAUAUCAAAUAUAGUUAUCCUAUUACUUAUAAUAAGAGAGAAUUCAACAUUACAAACCAGAUGCUCCGCAGGGCGUAGCUUUAUACGACCGCAGAGGUUGAACCCUGAACGGUUGGGGCAAGUAUGGACACAACAUUCAAGCUGGAUUCAGCUCUAAAUUUGGAUUGUGAUUAAAUAGUUGACACAGCAUAGGUUUCUGACACAGAAUGAAUGUGUUCUAAUGAACUUAAAAUUUUUGUUUUCUCUUAGAGCAAUUCACUAUGCUGUUGAAUAUUAAUCCUCUCAAAAAAAUGUUUGAAGAAAUUUUCUUUUUUAUUUAUGAAAUUUCAAAU